GACGAACGCUGGCGGCGUGCUUAACACAUGCAAGUCGAGCGGUAAGGCCCUUUCGGGGGUACGACGAGCGGCGAACGGGUGAGUAACACGUGGGUGACCUGCCUUUAGUCUCUGGGAGUAAGCCUGGGAAACGUAGGGUCGUAAUACCGGAUACGACUCCGCGGUGCAUGCUGUGGGGUGGAAAGCCUUGUGCGGCUGGAGAUGGGCCCGCGGCCUAUCAGCUUGUUGGUGGGGUGAUGGCCUACCAAGGCGACGACGGGUAGCCGGCCUGAGAGGGCGACCGGCCACACUGGGAC
rnacentral:rRNA from 1 species